UGUGUGUGUGCGUACAUAUAUCAGGUCAUUAGGAAUGAAAUGUCAGAUUUUGAACUAAAAGUUUAUUUUAUCUCAACAAAAAGCAAUGCAGUUCAUCAAGUUAUGCACCUAAAUUAUCAACACAAUUUUGCCCUUCU